rnacentral:rRNA from 1 species
AUUGAACGCUGGCGGCAGGCCUAACACAUGCAAGUCGAACGGUAACAGGAAGAAGCUUGCUUCUUUGCUGACGAGUGGCGGACGGGUGAGUAAUGUCUGGGAACUGCCUGAUGGAGGGGGAUAACUACUGGAAACGGUAGCUAAUACCGCAUAACGUCGCAAGACCAAAGAGGGGGACCUUCGGGCCUCUUGCCAUCGGAUGUGCCCAGAUGGGAUUAGCUAGUAGGUGGGGUAACGGCUCACCUAGGCGACGAUCCCUAGCUGGUCUGAGAGGAUGACCAGCCACACUGGAACUGAGACACGGUCCAGACUCCUACGGGAGGCAGCAGUGGGGAAUAUUGCACAAUGGGCGCAAGCCUGAUGCAGCCAUGCCGCGUGUAUGAAGAAGGCCUUCGGGUUGUAAAGUACUUUCAGCGGGGAGGAAGGGAGUAAAGUUAAUACCUUUACUCAUUGACGUUACCCGCAGAAGAAGCACCGGCUAACUCCGUG